rnacentral:ncRNA from 1 species
GAGGAACCCGGUGUAAUUCCGGGACGGUCCCGCCACUGUGACCGGGGAGCGACCCGCUGACACAUCGCCACUGCCGGCAGGCGGGAAGGCGAGCGGGGAACGGCGAUCCGGGAGUCAGGAGACUC